AUGAUAUCCCCCAACCUCCCCCUCCGGCUCCGCCACCUCCGCUGCCUUCUCGCCGCGGCGCCCUUGUCCUCCCCCGCCGCCGCAUACUACUCGCGCGCAUCCUCCCCACCUUCAAACCGCGCUCAGGCCCUGCCCCCGCCCCCGCCACCGCGGCGCCAUCUCCCGGACCUCCCGGCGCGACGGUUCUCCUCCGGGCACGUCCUCCUCCCCACCAACCUCCAGGAGGAGCACGUCGCGUCUCUGUCCGACAGGAUCUACCACGCGGUGACAGAGACAGAGGAGGGCUCCAACGAGGGCACGGAGGCCGCCCUCGACGCGCUGGGCGCCGAGCUGACCACCCCGCUCGUGGCCGACGUGAUGCACCGCCUGCGCUACGAGGAGAAGCUGGCCUUCCGCUUCUUCGCCUGGGCGUCCCAGCAGGACAACUACGAGCACGAGCACCGCACGUACAACGACAUGAUCGACAUCCUCUCCGGGACGCGGUACAAGUCCCGCCAGUUCGGCGUCCUCUGCGACGUGCUCGACCACAUGAAGCGCCACGGCACGAGGUCGGUGCCGGUCGAGGACCUGCUGGGCAUCCUGCGCGCCUACACCGAGAAGCACCUCACCAACCUUAGGAAGCUGGCGAAGAAGCGGCGGGUGCGGAUGCGCACGCCGCCGGAGACCGACGCGCUCAACAUCCUCCUGGACGCGUUUUGCAAGUGCGGGAUGGUCAGGGAGGCGGAGACGGUGUUUGGUCGCGUGAAGAAGAAGCUGCAAGGAAAUGCCGAGACCUACAGCAUCCUCUUCUUUGGGUGGUGCCGCGCCAGGGACCCCAAGAAGGCCAUGAAGGUGCUCGAGGAAAUGGUUGAGAUGAAGCACACCCCAGAGAACUUCACGUACAUUGCUGCUAUUGACUCGUUCUGCAGCGCUGGUUUGAUCUCGGAGGCAAGAGAGUUGUUUGAGUUCAUGAGGACCGAGGGAUCGAAGAUAUCCUCUCCCACUGCUAAGGUAUAUGCUAUUAUGAUUGUUGCGCUAGCCAAAGCUGAUCGGAUGGAUGAGUGCUUUGAGCUGAUUUCAGAUAUGAUUAAACGAGGCUGCAUGCCUGAUGUAUCAACCUUUAAAGAUUUGAUUGAAGGCAUGUGCUUGGUGGAUAGACUCGAUGCUGCCUACUGCAUUUUGGAGGAGAUGGGGAAGGCUGGGUUUCCUCCUGACAUUGUCACUUACAAUUGCUUUCUUGAGGUACUUUGUCGUCUUCAGAAGGCUGAUGAUGCGCUCAAACUCGCCGAGAGGAUGAUAGAAGCACACUGUGAGCCCAGUGUUCAUACUUACAAUAUGCUGAUGGUGAUGUUUUUUGAGAUGAGAGAGCCACACAGGGCACUCAAUAUUUGGACUGAAAUGGACAAGAGAGGAUGUCGACGUGCUGUUGAUACCUACGAAAUAAUGAUUGAUGGGCUGUUUGAUUGUGGAAGAACGGAAGAUGCAACCACUCUUCUAGAUGAAGUAAUAAACCAUGAUAUGAAACUGUCGUACAAGAAGUUCGAUUCUAUCAUGCUGCAAUUGUCAGCUGUUGGCAACCUUGGCGCAAUACAUCGGCUUUCAGAGCAUAUGAGAAAAUUUUACAAUGUUGCAAUGUCAAGACGUUUUUCGAUCACACAGAAGAAGAAGAGCAUUGGUAUUAGAAGGAGAUGA
rnacentral:rRNA from 1 species